rnacentral:rRNA from 1 species
CCUACGGGAGGCAGCAGUGGGGGAUAUUGCACAAUGGGGGGAACCCUGAUGCAGCGACGCCGCGUGGGUGAAGAAGCGCCUCGGCGCGUAAAGCCCUGUCAGCAGGGAAGAAAAUGACGGUACCUGAAGAAGAAGCCCCGGCUAACUACGUGCCAGCAGCCGCGGUAAUACGUAGGGGGCAAGCGUUAUCCGGAUGUACUGGGUGGAAAGGGGGCGCAGACGGCGCUGCAAGCCAGGAGUGAAAGCCCGGGGCCCAACCCCGGGACUGCUCUUGGAACGGCGUGGCUGGAGUGCAGGAGGGGCAGGCGGAAGUCCUGGUGUAGCGGUGAAAUGCGUAGAUAUCAGGAGGAACACCGGUGGCGAAGGCGGCCUGCUGGACUGCAACUGACGUUGAGGCCCGAAAGCGUGGGGAGCAAACAGGAUUAGAUACCCCUGUAGUC